GCCGGUCCGAGUUCUCGCAGCCUGGGAGGGGCGCGGCUCCCUGAGGGCCCCGGGUACAGCCUGGCCUUCGCGCAGCGGGAGGGCGUGGGGAGUUGUCCAGGACUCCGUGUUUGGGAUCGCUGGGGCCUCCCUCCCCUCUGUGGCCGCAGGAACGCGGGCCUCACCCGGUGCUCGGCCUUAACGGUGUAGGGGCGUGAAGACCAGACAGUCUCUGCGGGCAAGGACAGCGCGUCUUUGACCACGGUUUAGAAUUCCCAAGUUUAUUUUUAAGUUUGUUUUAAAAAAAAAGUGUCAAUCGUUGCUUCCUAGAUGGCCUUCUCUUAAAUGUAUAUAUCUCGAUGGUGACUUACUUGGGAAAUUUAAAAACCUCCGCCUGGGAUCGGUUCCUAUUUUCAGAACCAGCCUAGAACUUUCAAAUAACUUAAAUUUGAGCCAUUCCCUAUUAUUAGUUAAACGUAAAAUACAUGAGUAUGAGAGAGAGAAAGACAGACGGAGACAGACACUACAGGAGAUUGUACUAGGCUGGUGCAGAGAACGCAAAGACAGAAAGACAGUGCCCUCCUCAGACUUACUAGCGUGGCGAGAGGGGCGGCACCGGGCGGGCGCCGGGAAGCAAGAGGACAGAAGCCGGCAACCCUAGACGCAGUAAGAUAUUCUAGGAUGAGAAGCGCAAAGUGCUGUGGAGAUUCAAGGCUCCCACGGCCCCCAUCUGAUGUGGCCAAAGACUCCAGAAGCACCAUUUGGAAUUUAAUUCAAGCCGUCUACGUGGCCUCAUCUCAUCCAUCCCUGAACCUCCCAGGGUGAGAAGGAAAUAAAGCACCCACCCAGGCGGAGGAUGGAAUGAUGAUGUUGACGUUUUCUGACUUCAGUCAAGUAAAGCUUGGGCUCCAUCAACCUUUGCCCCAAUUCUACACUGAAUUCUCCUCUGCUCAAGCCCCUUCAUUAAUUUGCAUGUACCCUUAGCUUAAAACUUCCCCAAUUUUGCUAUCCUGGGAGAUAUCCCAGGAUAUCCCAGGACCUUUGGGAAAGAUCCCCGGUGUUCUCCUUACUUGCUGCAAGUAAUAAUAAAUCUUUCUUUCUCCUG